GAGACCGGGUUCUGUGCGGUAAACCACAAUGCGUCAGGAACAGUGAAGAAGGUCGGGACGAUGAAAAGAUAAUUUCCCGGAAGAUGGUAAAUGGAUAUCAAGGGUGUGCUCAGACUACAGCACCAAUACCGACCAGAAAAGCUGGCCCUUGCCCUUCUCAUGCUGUCAGGAAUAGUCACCACAAGCCCCCGGGACCUUGCUCGAGUCUAUCCUGCACGGAUGCCAUCAGAACGUCGGGCAGUCAUUAAUAUGUAACACGCCCUCACGCACAGGCACAAGCCACGGUCUACCAGCUGUCUGAACAUUCCUCAGCACAACCAAGUCAACACACGAAAUUAACCAUCACAG